rnacentral:rRNA from 1 species
UGGGGAAUAUUGGACAAUGGGCGCAAGCCUGAUCCAGCAAUGCCGCGUGUGUGAAGAAGGCCUUCGGGUUGUAAAGCACUUUUAUCAGGAGCGAAACGCUGUCGGCUAAUACCCGGCGGAACCUGACGGUACCUGAGGAAUAAGCACCGGCUAACUUCGUGCCAGCAGCCGCGGUAAUACGAAGGGGUGCAAGCGUUAAUCGGAAUUACUGGGCGUAAAGCGUGCGUAGGCGGUUUCUUAAGUCUGCUGUGAAAUCCCCGGGCUCAACCUGGGAAUGGCAGUGGAUACUGGGAGGCUAGAGUGUGUCAGAGGGUGGUGGAAUUCCCGGUGUAGCGGUGAAAUGCGUAGAGAUC